rnacentral:rRNA from 1 species
CCUACGGGAGGCAGCAGUGAGGAAUAUUGGUCAAUGGCCGCAGGGCUGAACCAGCCAAGUCGCGUGAGGGAUGACGGUCCUAUGGAUUGUACACCUCUUUUGUCAGGGAGCAAAGGGCGCCACGUGUGGCGCUUUGCGAGUACCUGAAGAAAAAGCAUCGGCUAACUCCGUGCCAGCCGCCGCGGUAAUACGGAGGAUGCGAUCGUUAUCCGGAUUUAUUGGGUUUAAAGGGUGCGUAGGCGGAAUGCCAAGUCAGCGGUAAAAUCGCGGGGCUCAACCUCGCUCCGCCGUUGAAACUGGCGUUCUUGAGUGGGCGAGAAGUAUGCGGAAUGCGUGGUGUAGCGGUGAAAUGCAUAGAUAUCACGCAGAACUCCGAUUGCGAAGGCAGCAUACCGGCGCCCAACUGACGCUGAAGCACGAAAGCGUGGGUAUCGAACAGGAUUAGAUACCCCUGUAGUC